UACAGAGGGUGCAAGCGUUAAUCGGAAUUACUGGGCGUAAAGCGUGCGUAGUCGGUUAUCUAAGUCGGGUGUGAAAUCCCCAGGCUCAACUUGGGAACUGCAUCCGAUACUGGAUGGCUUGAAUUCGGGAGAGGGAUGCAGAAUUCCAGGUGUAGCGGUGAAAUGCGUAGAUAUCUGGAGGAAUACCGGUGGCGAAGGCGGCAUCCUGGACCGACAUUGACGCUGAACGGCGAAAGCUAGGGGAGCAAACGGG
rnacentral:rRNA from 1 species